GGCUAUAGCUCAGUGGUAGAGUGCUUGCCUAGCAGGUUCGAGGCCCUGGGUUCGAUCCUCAGCACCA
rnacentral:tRNA from 1 species